rnacentral:lncRNA from 1 species
UAAAUGUCCAAUUUGAUUGGAAAAAGUAUGAGAAUUCAAAUUAAGGAUUGAGGAUUCGAAUGGACACAAAAGAUCUGCUAAAAUAUAAAUGAAAAAACUGAACUGGUUCAAAAAUACAUAUCUACACUGUGAGCUAGGGUUGGCUAAGGCAAAUGCUAGAAAUGGUCAGUUUGAUUGGAAAAAAUAUGAAAAUAAUCAAGGUGGGCCAAAAUCCUCUGCAAUGGACUCUAUCCAUAUCACUAUUCACUCCAUUCUUGUUACUAACUUAAGCAUCGGAGAGCUUUUGAUCUAUACCACACCGAUGCCCAAGGUCUCACUGCUCUUUGUUUCGCAACCUAUCCACUCUGCCGAAGAGCACACAGUGCCAAAUGCAACAUCAUCACUAAGUUAGGCCCAAAAGUGUCCGACCAUUUUUGUGCAUCAACAAGAUCCAUGAAUCAUAAUGAACUUCAGUUUCAUAUAUAUUUGAAGCUUUAGAUUCGAGUAUGUUGAUCUAAUGAGUUAAUACUUGU